AUUGAACGCUGGCGGCAUGCCUUACACAUGCAAGUCGAACGGUAACAGGUCUUCGGAUGCUGACGAGUGGCGAACGGGUGAGUAAUACAUCGGAACGUGCCCAGACGUGGGGGAUAACGAGGCGAAAGCUUUGCUAAUACCGCAUACGAUCUAAGGAUGAAAGCAGGGGACCGCAAGGCCUUGCGCGUUUGGAGCGGCCGAUGGCAGAUUAGGUAGUUGGUGGGAUAAAAGCUUACCAAGCCGACGAUCUGUAGCUGGUCUGAGAGGACGACCAGCCACACUGGGACUGAGACACGGCCCAGACUCCUACGGGAGGCAGCAGUGGGGAAUUUUGGACAAUGGGCCAAAGCCUGAUCCAGCAAUGCCGCGUGCAGGAUGAAGGCCUUCGGGUUGUAAACUGCUUUUGUACGGAACGAAAAGGCUCUGGCUAAUACCUGGGGCACAUGACGGUACCGUAAGAAUAAGCACCGGCUAACUACGUG
rnacentral:rRNA from 1 species